rnacentral:lncRNA from 1 species
GCACUUUCUAACUAGGACCUGUGUAUAAUAAAAUGACAGCAUACUUAUUAAAUCAAUCUUUGAGAUAAUCCAUGUAUUUUUUGUGAAAUGAUGAAUUCACAUGAAAAUAUUUUUAGAUCUUUUUGACAAACAAUUUUUAGUUUUUUCUGUCUUUUCCAAAUAUGGUGUAUAUUUUGGGAAUCAAGUGCAUUUGUUGUCAAGAAGAAAUAAAUAACAAGCAGUCACUACUUUAAGGACAAAAAAAGUAUCAGAAUAAGUUUUACAUUCUAUAAAAACAUUAAUCUUUCCCAUAGACUAUUAUAAACAGAAAAUCCAAGCAGAGAUCAUUGCUCUGCGACAGUUUCUGAAAAAUAUAAUAUUCAAGAAAGAAUAAUACUUUAAGUACUAAGUACUUCACCCAUCCCCACUCUUAAAGCUGUUUCUUAGGAAAAAAUUUUUAUUUUUCCAUAUUGCUACAACUUUUCCAAAAUGUCUAUCUCUUCAGCAAAUCUUUGUGCAGAGUGUUGGGAUCUUUCUGAGAGUCAUGCUCAUUAAUGAAACUGAAUAGCAAAGCAGAGAAGGUAUUCCUAAAAUAUUUGGAUAUGUCUCAACGUCUCUGCACUUGAUAUUGCCUUUGUUUAGAACACUCUUCAUCAAGCAUUGGUUUCAUUCUCGUCUUUCAGGAUCUCAGAAACAGCCCCAUGCCACCUUAUCUAAGUUUGCUUUCCCCAGUUAAUCUCUAACUCCUCAAGGUAUUAAUUUCCUUGGAGGAAGCUUUCACAAUUAGUAAUUAUUUUUUCUCUCCAUUGGUUUAAUUAUUUAUUGGUCUCUCUUAUCAUGCUGGGAGCUUGGUGUAGGUAUCAACUUUGUAUUUUUAGCAAUAUACACCCAGUGUCUUGCAUGGUGCCUGGCACAUAGGAGGAGUUCAAUAACUAUGUGUUGAAUACAUAAAUGAGUGAAACCAAACUUAACCAACUUAACCAAAGUUUGUGUUUUUGCCAAAAUUCCUACUAGCUCAAAAUCACCGUAAGUGACAUGUUUUUGUGUGUGUGAAAAAUCAUAUGUAUUACAAGGAGGUGUUCUAGGUGGUUGCAAAUUGUGUGGAACAAUUAUUUAUUAUUAUUUCUAAUACAAAAGUUGUAGAAUUAUGUCAAUAUUUAUGCAAUAGCAAGAUGAGAUCACAGAACAAUAACUCCUGAAAGAAAAGAUCAUUCUUUUCACUUUGCCAUCAUUUACAUUUUUGUCAACUUUAGAAAAGGAGAAAAUGGUGAGAAAAAUCUGUAAAGAGUUUGCACACAAAAGAAUAUUUCGACGAAGGAAAAUAUGUCAACUUACUAUACCAUAUUUUGUUCUUUCAAAAUAUUACAAAAUUGACAUAGGACAUAAUGAUGUUUGAUGUUCUAAGAAAAAUACAAUAUGUUCAGGAAACUGUAUGUAUGAUAUGGAUGCAUCACUAAGAGAACCACAUAAGGAACUGCUAACAUUUCAAAAGCACGGAUUUUCAAAAUGGUAUAUAUAUGUGUCUAAAAUUGCUGGUGUGCUAUAAUUAAUUUCUAUUCUAUUUUAAAGGGUCAUUUGCUUAUCUUUUAUAGACAAUUUUUACAGCUUAUCAUGAAUCCCUAGAGCUGCUAAGAUUAAGUCAAUAUAUUUUCAUGAAUAGUAUGUAAAUAUAUUUGAGUAUCUUAGUGUUCUUGACACAGCCUAAGGUGUUUCAUGUGAAUGUAUCCAACAUUUUGCUUUCUGAGGGAGAAAAUGUAUUGCUAUGCUUUAUUGCGGCGCAUACUGUAAAUAUCCUUUAAGCUUGUUCUGUAUUUCCACACUGCUUCACAUCAUCUAUUUAAUUUUUUUAUAUAUGCCGCAUAAUAAAUGCAUGAUGCUAAAUUCAAACUUUGUAAGUGUCUGACCCAUCAUAAGUCAAUUUCACAUCUUUUUCAUAUCUUUCUCUGUGCUUCACUGAUCUGGUCAGAACAUAGACUUCCUUUUAUAUCAACAGAGAUUUUGUCCUGUGACUGAAGCCAUGAAAUCAGACGAGAACCUGGGAAAUACCAGAGAAAUAUUGUUCAAUGUUAUUAUUACUGUGGCUGACUUUUUCAAUUUUGUUUCUCAAAAAAAAAAAAAAAAGCAAAAGCAACCAAACUUCUCUGAGAUUACCUAAAAUCACACAAGGCUAAAGCUGGUUCCAUCACCAAAUUCUUCAGAUGAAGGAAAUGAGAUGCAAAUUGCUGGCCUAGGUCACAUUUCAGCUAGGGCAGAAGCAGGAAUAAAACCCAAUACUAGUCCCCAGCCCGAUGCUCUUCUCAGGCAUCACUCAUCUUCGCUGGUUGUUUUAAAAAGACGUGGAAAUGGCAAUGCGGUGGGAGGAAUUGAACAAGGGCUUUAAUAUAAAGUAGCUGAGGCUCUUGCACUUAUUAGCUGUGUGACUUUGGGUGUGUGACAAUCCCUGUGAAAUUCAGUUUUCUUAUUUAUAAAGUGUCAGUAAUAGUACCUGACACACAAGAUCCUUCUCAGAAGUAAAUGAAAUAAGAUAAUAGAUACAGUAUACAAUGCCUGCCACAUGGUAGGCAUUUAAAUACAGUGUAUCUAUUACUAUUAUGAUUAUUUGAAAUUAGCAUUUUUAUAGUUAAUCAUUACGAUAAGCCUGAGUAAUCUUACAGCAUUCUAUGGUAUGAGACAAGCACCGGCUGGGCAGAGCUCACCUGACACGGGAAGAAUCCAGCAUUGCUUUGGCAGACUGUGGCUGCGCCCAGUUUAGCAGUAAUUAGUCCUAGUCAACCAAGGUAAUCUGGAAAUUGGCUCUCAGAUCAUAUUUGCAAUUUUAUGUGGAGAGAUGAUUCAAUAUUCGGUAAUGGUUAGGUAUUUUCAGUGUUCAACCCUGAAGUCCUUGUGUAAAUAGGAUUGUUCUCGAAAUGGAAUGGAAGUUUUGUGUGCAAUAUGAUGGCAGGAGCAGCCCCUUAAUCAGAUUUACACAGAAAAGGAGGAGAUUGUGCCAUCAUGUGAAUGCCGAUGAGAAGAUGCGCUGAAUGGGAAAAUCAGUUAUUUUUAACGAUAAUGUAAAUAUUAGCAGUAAUAACUGGACACAGAGUUGUCAUUCCUGCCUCUGUCUUUGAUAAAGGAGAAAAGAAUCUUAUGUUUGUUUGUCAUGUUAUGUUUGAACAGUAUUUUUACUUCAAAUAAGUCAUUAAAAUAGCUUCUAAAUUAAAUACGUUUCAUAAGAUUAUCCAGUGAUUGAGUAAAGAAUGGGAAAAUUAGGGAUAAACUUUUACGUGAAGAAGAAAUAUUUUUGCAAUAAUAGUCAUUUUAUGUAUAUAUUUUACAUACAUAUAUAAACAUACACAUAUAUACACAUUUAUGUUUAUAUGUAAUCAUAGUCAUUUAUUAUAUAUGAUGAUAAUGACAAAUACUUGAUAGGUCAAACCCUAUGUGUGUUGAGCUCGCUGUGAUCCAUGACUCUGGAGUUGUUACUAUGAGCAGGACUUUUACUGGAAAAAAUACUACCAUAUGAAGAGUGGAAGCUGUAGUAUCUCUACAGCUCAGUUUCUGAUCUUUAAAAUGAGAGGGAUUGUACCAAAUGACCACUUAAGUCUUUUCAGCACUAAACUCUGAAAACAAUUCUAUCAGCAAUUCAAAGACAUCAGUUCAAAGAUAGUCUUUGUUCCUAUACGUGGACCCGGAACCCAUCAGGACUGAGACUGGAGGGGAGAACUUCCUCUCUGUGGGGUUCUUUGAUAAAUCAAAUCCACACCCAGGAGUAGUGGAGGAUUUAGAAGUGAACCCAGAGAUACUGCUUCCGUAAUCACCACCUAUUUUGUUCCCGAGCCUUCAGGACGGCAUAAGUCUUCUUUUGGCUUCAAUAGGAAAUCCCAAGUUCAGAGUCAGGAACAAAACCGCACCAAUUUCCAGAAUUGGUAAGUCAAUUGCAGUGUGCUAACCCAUUCUCUUGGUGGCUGUGAUUACGUGAAAUCACAAAAUCACCUGCCUUUGUUUAAUGUUCACAUAUCUUGACACUCAUAGUUUAUUAUAUCACAGAUUAUUGUCCAUCCACGUAUUGUCUGGAAUAUGGCUGAAAGUAUUGAGUGGUCUUCAAGCCUCAGAAUUACAAUUUUGCAGACUUUUAAAGAGACAUUUAUUCCAAAUUUCUUUUGUUUAACCUAUUCCAGAAAUCUAAGUGCCUUUAAGGAUAAAUGACAGGAUAACAGAACUCUGUCUGCUCUGCAGUGAAUAUUAUAUUUUCAUUUUGCACAAUGGAGCUCAAAAUGCCUCACUUUAUGCCGAUGGUGGGCACUUUUAGAGUUUUUCAUACUCCUGCAGUUAAAAUAUAUGACAACAUGGACUUGCAAAAAGAGAUGAAGGGGAUAAGUGAGCAGGAAAUUCACAGAAAUUGAGACCAUAUUAAACACUAAGUAGGUAUACUUCCAUCUACCUCUAUUUUCAGAUAAUAUCUUGAAUUUGCUAUACCAAGAAAUUCACAUUGAGAGAUUACAUUUUUGGUUAAAAUUAGAUACCUUGGGGAAAAUAUAAUAAUCAUAAUAAAGACAGGUUGAAAACACAAUAAUCCUCCUAAAUCAAUGUAAAUCAAAUAUAUAGAUAUGUACG